rnacentral:rRNA from 1 species
CACGUAGGGACCGAGCGUUGUCCGGAUUUAUUGGGCGUAAAGAGGUCGUAGGCGGUUCAGCAAGUCGGGUGUGAAAACUCUGGGCUCAACCCAGAGACGCCACCCGAUACUGCUGUGACUAGAGUCCGGUAGGGGAGUGGGGAAUUCCAGGUGUAGCGGUGAAAUGCGUAGAUAUCAGGAGGAACACCGGUGGCGAAGGCGGCUUGCUGGGCCUUACCUGACGCUGAGGAGCGAAAGCGUGGGGAGCGAACAGG